GACGAACGCUGGCGGCGUGCUUAACACAUGCAAGUCGAACGGUAAGGCCCUUCGGGGUACACGAGUGGCGAACGGGUGAGUAACACGUGGGUGAUCUGCCCUGCACUUCGGGAUAAGCCUGGGAAACUGGGUCUAAUACCGGAUAGGACUCCUGGCUUCAUGGUUGGGGGUGGAAAGCUUUUGCGGUGUGGGAUGGGCCCGCGGCCUAUCAGCUUGUUGGUGGGGUAAUGGCCUACCAAGGCGACGACGGGUAGCCGGCCGGAGAGGGUGACCGGUCACACUGGGACUGAGAGACGGCCCAGACUCCUACGGGAGGCAGCAGUGGGGAAUAUUGCACAAUGGGCGCAAGCCUGAUGCAGCGACGCCGCGUGAGGGAUGACGGCCUUCGGGUUGUAAACCUCUUUCAGCACCGACGAAGCGCAAGUGACGGUAGGUGCAGAAGAAGGACCGGCCAGCUACGUGCCAGCCGCCGCCGUAA
rnacentral:rRNA from 1 species